rnacentral:lncRNA from 1 species
CGACAGCAAGUGGAUUGAAAGGAGGCUAGGGUUAGAGAGAAAAAGAAAAGAGAAGGAAAAAAAGGGAAAAUAAAUAAAAAAAGAAAAUAAAAAAAGAAAGGGAAACAAUCGGGUUGACCCAACCCGCCUCACCGACCCGAGCCCGCAAACGAGCACAUGCAGCGGGUCAGCACCAGCAGCAGGCCGGUCUAACAACGGCCCAAAUCCCACAGCAGGCCUAGCAACAGCAGACCCAAUAGAAGAUCCAAC